AGACAGAGCUUCUUCACACAACAAAACACAACAGAACACUGGAAUGACCGGACAAGGACUAAACAGAAACACCAGAGAGCACGAGGAAGGUUUUGCUCACUGAUAUCUGGUCCGGCCCACGGACUCUAUGGGUGGAGUCACCUUAAUAUAAAGGAGCAGGUCUCUGUGUUUACAGACAGACUUGGAGGAGACACAAGCGAGCUGCUGACCUGAAACAUUCACAGGAACAGGGGUGAAACCACAGGUUGGACACGAAAAUCACCACUUAAUUGCUGAAAAACACGUUAAAAAUGGGGAACGUACCGUCAGAAAGUAACAUGGGCGAAAACCUGAGAUGCUGCAAGUGUGAUAUAGUCCUGCCUCCGUGCAAAUCCUUCGAUGAUUUCCACAAAAGUACUGUUCAUGGUAUAUACUACAGACCGGUUGGCGCUGAUAAUAUGUACGAGUGUGCAUCCUGCUUUAAUAAGCCAAUCAGGGAUCAAGAGGAGGAGAGAGGAGGAGACCGGGUUACCAGCAGAAUGUAAUAUGGGUGACCGCCUGAGAUGCUGCAAGUGUGAUAAAGUCCUGCCUCCGUGCAAAUCCUUCAGUGAUUUAUAUGUAACUACUCUUAAUGAGCAGCGAGUGUAUGUGUUCAAUGGAGGUGAAUACUACAGACCAUAUGAAGUCUUUAUGCACGAGUGUGCAAAAUGCUUUGAGAGUAAAUGAGCUGAGAGGAGGAGAAGAGAAGAGGAGAGAGAGAGGACGAGAGGAGAAGAGAUGGAGAGGAGGUUUGGUUUCCUUUACUGAACAGAAUUAAAGUCACUGUGACAUCAUCACAUCAAAAUAAAGAAAGCUGUUGCUUAGCUGACCUUUUAAAUCUGUGCUCUCAUCCAGAGCAACUGAUAAAGUGUUGAUUUUCAUAGAAUAUCAUCAUGUAAGAUCACAUAUAUCAGAUGACUUGUGAGCAGUUUUCUUUUUCUUUAUCUUUAUUUAAUCUUUUUAUUUUCCUCUUCUUGUGCUCGCCAUUUCUUCCUCAGUAUAUUUUGUCGUGUCAUUAUUUUCUCAUAGUGUGCCGAUUGUUUUAGCCUCAACAACUACAAAAACAUAAUCAACCAUAUGUAUCAUAUGUACAACCAUAUGUAUAUAUAUAUAUUAUUAAUGGAGCAAGCUAGCGACUCACUAAUGUAGACGUAGAGUUGUGUGUAACUUGUGUUACAAAUUAUAUCCCAAUAUGUUUUGGAAACCAGAUAUACACAGUUAAAGUUAGGAUACUGUUGUCUCAUAUAUAUCUGUUGUUAUAUUGGCAUGUUAUGAAUACCCUGUAUAUUCUUAUAUUCCUUACUACAUUGAAAAGCUUAGGUGCCUGUGGUUGCUGUGGUUGCAGGAGCAUGGGCCUACAAUCCCUCUUUCCCCUUCAGCCAGUCUGAGGUUAGUGGGGGGGACAGAGUUUAGCAGAAAAAGAAAGUAUUGAUGGCUCGACAAAACGAUUGAAGUGGAUGAAUGAUGGUUUGGACGGUGAUAAAAAAGGUCCAGCAAAUGAAGAGGAGAAAAGUUGAGGACAGAAGAAUGGUCUAAGGAAGGAGAGUAAACAGGGAGAUCCGGCAAUAAGCAAGCAUCAAAAUGUUAAAAAGAAACACAUAAAUAAUUGGUUCAAAAGACGCGAUUGCAUUAAAAAAUAUAGGCAACAGAGCUGCGUGGGGAGGGGCGACACAGCAACCUGCAGUUUUUAGUUGCAUAAUUUUGGUCUGUUUGGUGGAAACUCAUUGUCUUUAUCUUGGAAAAGAAUAAAUGACUUUUGGCAGCAACAAACUCA